rnacentral:lncRNA from 1 species
CCUCAUGUUAUCGUUAUUCUAGGGAAACCGUGAAAUCGGGGUCGAAGGGUGUUGAUUGGGGAUAAGGGUCGAAGUUUGGUUUGUCUGCACUUUACAUUCAAUCACUGCCUCAUUGUUUUGCCGCUUGUUUGCUAAAAUUUAUUUGUGUAGAUGUGUUUGUCUGGAUGGAUUCUUUGUUGUUUGAAGGUUUGCAUAAGAACUUCUAUUCUGUAGAUGCGUUUUCUUUUGAGAUGGUAAUGAUGAACACCAUAAGGUGUUCAUCCUUGACCCUAGGGUGGGCGCGUCGGUGUUCUUCUUUGGUUUUCUUUUUGUGGGAGAAGAUAGGGUUUGGUCGCUGUUAAAAAAGGGAUAUCAGAAAUUUAUUUCAGAGAGAGAAACAACCGAGUAGGUGAGAUGAACGUGUGGAUGCUGGAGUUUUCCUUCUUGGAAAACGCGUUAUUUCAGUAAUCUUGGGAAAAUGGAAAAGCUUUUAUUCUUUUU